UGCAAGUCGUGGGGCAGCGCAGUGUAGCAAUACAUGGGCGGCGACCGGCAAACGGGUGCGGAACACGUACACAACCUGCCUUUAAGUGGGGAAUAGCCCGGGGAAGGCCGGAUUAAUACCCCGUAACAUUAUGAAGUGGCAUCGCUUUAUAAUUAUAGCUCCGGCGCUUAAUGAUGGGUGUGCGGCUGAUUAGAUAGUUGGCGGGGUAACGGCCCACCAAGUCUGCGAUCAGUAAGUGGUGUGAGAGCACGACCAGUCACACGGGCACUGAGACACGGGCCCGACUCCUACGGGAGGCAGCAGUAAGGAAUAUUGGUCAAUGGACGCAAGUCUGAACCAGCCAUGCCGCGUGGAGGAUGAAGGUCCUCUGGAUUGUAAACUUCUUUUAUCUGGGACGAAAAAGGGACUUUCUAGUUCAACUGACGGUACCAGAUGAAUAAGCACCGGCUAACUCCGUGCCAGCAGCCGCGGUAAUACGGAGGGUGCAAGCGUUAUCCGGA
rnacentral:rRNA from 1 species